rnacentral:rRNA from 1 species
UGACGCAGACCCGAAACCAAGUGACCUACCCAUGACCAGGUUGAAGGCGCGGUAAAACGCGCUGGAGGACCGAACCCACGUAAGUUGAAAAUUGCGGGGAUGAGUUGUGGGUAGCGGUGAAAUUCCAAACGAACUUGGAGAUAGCUGGUUCUCUCCGAAAUAGCUUUAGGGCUAGCCUCGCAAAGAGGAUGCUGGAGGUAGAGCUCUGUUUGGACUAGGGGCCCGUCAAGGGUUACUGAAUUCAGAUAAACUGCGAAUUCCAGACAUUUAUGUGCGGGAGUCAGACUGCGAGUGAUAAGAUCCGUAGUCGAAAGGGAAACAGCCCAGAUCACCAGUUAAGGUCCCAAAAUUCAUGCUAAGUGGAAAAGGAUGUGGAGUUGCGCAGACAACUAGGACGUUGGCUCAGAAGCAGCCAUCAUUCAAAGAGUGCGUAAUAGCUCACUAGUCGAGUGACGCCGCGCCGAAAAUUUACCGGGGCUAAGCAUGAUACCGAAACUGUGGAUGUGCGUUUAUGCACGUGGUAGGAGAGCGUUCUAGCGGCGGUGAAGCAUGACCGAGAGGACAUGUGGAGCUUCUAGAAGUGAGAAUGCCGGUAUGAGUAACGAAAGACAGGUGAGAAUCCUGUCCGCCGCAAGACUAAGGUUUCCUGGGGCAGGCUCGUCCGCCCAGGGUAAGUCGGGACCUAAGGCGAGGCCGAGAGGCGUAGUCGAUGGACAACAGGUUGAAAUUCCUGUACUGCACCGAAUCGUUA